rnacentral:sRNA from 1 species
GCGCGAUAUUGGGUGACUACCAGUACGC